UACGUAGGGUCCGAGCGUUGUCCGGAAUUAUUGGGCGUAAAGAGCUCGUAGGCGGUUUGUCGCGUCUGCUGUGAAAUCCCGAGGCUCAACCUCGGGCCUGCAGUGGGUACGGGCAGACUGGAGUGCGGUAGGGGAGAAUGGAAUUCCUGGUGUAGCGGUGGAAUGCGCAGAUAUCAGGAGGAACACCGGUGGCGAAGGCGGGUCUCUGGGCCGAUACUGACGCUGAGGAGCGAAAGCGUGGGGGAGCGAACAGG
rnacentral:rRNA from 1 species